rnacentral:misc_RNA from 1 species
AACUGUCAGUGUUGUGCAGUCAGUGCUCAGUAGUGUCAACAACAAGAGAAAAAAGUUGUUUUCAGAAGAAUUCUUAAACUGGACUGCUGAUUAAACUGGAAAACUAUUUCUAGCAACAUCUAGCAAAUUCUUUGAAUCAUGACAGCAGAAGAAACCCUUCGGAGGCCGAGUAUACCUGCCAAGUCGUCAAAGAAUCUGGACCAUUUGUCAAAUUUCAGCUAGAGUGGCACUUGCCAAAGCACAGUACAAAUCGCAUGCAUGAUAUACUCAACAAGCCAGGAGCUAUCAACACCCUUCACCUGACAAUCCCAAAGUUACAGGAGUCUGAUAGUGGAAAGUACCGUUGUGUUGCCAGAGGUCUAUUACUACCAUCAAAAUUUUUAAAAUGAUUUCAUCCGUUUCCAAAAAUACUCUUCAUCUUUCAUCAGCACAGAGACUUUGGUUACCGAGACUUUUUGUUGGGAAAUCAUUUGUUAGAUUUUUGGGUGGACCAUCUAUUAUUCAAAAACCUAUUGCUCAGCCAAUUAAUUUGGCAAAUGAACCUAUUUUAGGUUAUUUGAAAAGCAGCGAAGAAAGAGUUGCCUUGGAAAAUGCAUUACAACAUAGGCAAUCUGCUGUUGAAGAAAUUCCAAUUGUUAUUGAUGGCAAAGAAUAUUGGACUGAUGAUGUUCAUUUAUCAGACAAUGAAAAAGAUCGCGAUAUUCUGCUAUGGUUCUCCCGUAUUUUACUUUUUUUUUAAAAGG